rnacentral:lncRNA from 1 species
UGGGCAGAGUUAGCCCCAAGUGCCUCACAUUGCACUUCUGUCUUUCUCUUUCUGUCUUUCCCACCCAGCUCCUUGAUCUUAUUUAAGCCACAUCAAAAUGUUUCUACAACCUACACGUGGUAGCACACACCUUUAACCCCAAUACUCUGGAGACAGAGGCAGGUAGACUCAAUGAGUUCAAGGCCAUCCUGGUCUACACAGUAAGUUCCAGGACAGCCAGAGACCCUGUCUCCAAACACACACACGCACACACACACACACACACACACACACACACACACUCUCUCUCUCUCUCUCUCUCUCUCUCUCUCUCUGAGCCAAGAGAUGGGCCAGCCACAGGUAAAGGUACUUGCUGGCAAGCAUGAUAAUCCCAGUUCAUCCCGAGCCUGCAGGCUGGAAGGAGAAAACCAACUCUGACGUUCACAAGUUGUCCUUAGACGCAACACAGGCAUACACUCACAGAGGAAUAAGCAAAUAAGGAAAUAAAUGAAUGUGUGUUUUAAAACUUUGUUAAAGGAAGAAGAAAGGACUUACUUUGCUACUUUAGCAUCUCCCUUAGGAAGAAAGGUGGUCCCUCCUCCCUAGUUCCAGUCUUCCCGAUGCUUGUCUAUCUACCACUGAGGAGGGAACCCAUCUAGUAGCUGCGCCUUUUACCACCCAGAGACUGCACCCGUCCUUCAAGGCCCCACCUGCCUUUGAGGAGUCAGUUGGGGCAGAGGGUGGCCUUGCAACUGGGUUGAUCCAGACAUGGCCCCCACAGCCAUGGGAGGAUCUUCUUUACCCUCAGUUCUUCUGUGGUAGGAACUCAGCAGAGACAGUGGAGACAUCAGAGGUUUCCUCCACUGGUAGCCCAGUCAGCCAGCCCGGAAGGUGGGAGAAGCAGUUUGAGGAACUCAGUAGAGAAGGAGCGGGAGCACUGUGAUUGUUCACUGGCAGCCUGGCUGGGUGACAUCUACCUGUCCCUGGUUCCUUGUACUGGAUUAGCCAGAGGUCCCCGGCUAGCAUCCUCCUCGGUCCUCUCUUCUCACCCCGUAUCUCCUCCUCCCUCCCUUCCUCAGCCUGAGAUUCUUCAAACACGGAGCUUCCUCUUGCUCCCUUCUGUUUUCUCCCCACUCUUGCCUUUUGACUUCAGAACCUUGGAACACAUCUCUGGUCUUCUCUUCCUACGUUUGGCCAGAUCUCUGGCUGAGCGCUAGGCAGUCAUCAUGGAGGGCUGGUGUCUCCGCUCACUGUUGGAGCUCUUUCUAGGAACACACGACCUACACUUCCUCACCUGAGCCCCACUUUCCUUGUAGAGUAAGGGGACCCUUAUGUAAGGACUUAUCUACAAAAGUCACAUAAAAGGUGACCGUGUAUCUGAAAUACCAGACAUGUGAGUAAAUGAUGGAGCGAUGGUAUAUUCCAAAACAGAAGAGAACUGCUAAAGAAUAGAAAAGUAGAACAUGUGCUUAAAAGUAGUGUGGCUCAGUAGUAGGGCACUUGCCCAGUAUGACGCCUGAGGUUUAAUCCUCAGUAUGGCAAAAAGAAAAAUG